CUCUAUGGCAGGCCGGGUGGGGGCGUCGUAAGACGCGCCGGUUUCCUGUAACGCCGGUAAGGUCAACCUCGUCUGGUUCUGCCACCCGC
rfam:Yokenella regensburgei ATCC 43003 genomic scaffold Scfld61, whole genome shotgun sequence.